AUAUUAUUAAGCGGAGGAAAAGAAACUAACAAGGAUUCCCCUAGUAACGGCGAGUGAAGCGGGAAAAGCUCAACCUGAAAAUCGGUGUACCUAGCGGUGCUCCGAAUUGUGGGCUAGAGACGUCUUCUCAGCAGUGACCCGGGUAUAAAUCUUUUGGAACAAGGUAUCAUAGAGGGUGAGAAUCCCGUCUUUGACCUGGAGUUCGCUGCGUACGAGGGGCGUUCGUCGAGUCGAAUAGCUUGGGAAUGCUGUUCUAAAUGGGUGGUAAAUUUCAUCUAAAGCUAAAUAUUGACGAGAGACCGAUAGCGCACAAGUA
rnacentral:rRNA from 1 species